CCUACGGGAGGCAGCAGUGAGGAAUAUUGGUCAAUGGACGAGAGUCUGAACCAGCCAAGUAGCGUGAAGGAUGACUGCCCUAUGGGUUGUAAACUUCUUUUAUAUGGGAAUAAAAUGUUCCACGUGUGGGAUUUUGUAUGUACCAUAUGAAUAAGGAUCGCCGAAAUCCGUGCCAGCAGCCGCGGUAAUACGGAGGAUCCGAGCGUUAUCCGGAUUUAUUGGGUUUAAAGGGAGCGUAGGUGGAUUGUUAAGUCAGUUGUGAAAGUUUGCGGCUCAACCGUAAAAUUGCAGUUGAAACUGGCAGGCUUGAGUACAGUAGAGGUGGGCAGAAGUCGUGGUGUAGCGGUGAAAUGCUUAGAUAUCACGAAGAACUCCGAUUGCGAAGGCAGCUCACUGGACUGCAACUGACACUGAGGCUCGAAAGUGUGGGUAUCAAACAGGAUUAGAUACCCCAGUAGUC
rnacentral:rRNA from 1 species